rnacentral:rRNA from 1 species
UACGGAGGGUGCGAGCGUUGUCCGGAAUCAUUGGGCGUAAAGGGCGCGUAGGUGGCGGGACAAGCGUGCGGUGAAAGCCUGGGGCUCAACCCUGCGUCGGCCAUGAAUACUGCCGCGGCUGGAGCACUGUAGAGGCAGGCGGAAUUCCGGGUGUAGCGGUGGAAUGCGUAGAGAUCCGGAAGAACACCGGUGGCGAAGGCGGCCUGCUGGGCAGUUGCUGGACACUGAGGCGCGACAGCGUGGGGAGCAAACAGGG